GAUGAACGCUGGCGGCGUGCCUAAUACAUGCAAGUCGAGCGAACCUCUUCGGAGGUUAGCGGCGGACGGGUGAGUAACACGUGGGUAACCUGCCUGUAAGACUGGGAUAACUUCGGGAAACCGAAGCUAAUACCGGAUACUUUUUUGAGUCGCAUGACUCGAAAUGGAAGGACGGCUUCGGCUGUCACUUACCGAUGGACCCGCGUGGCAUUAGCUAGUUGGUGAGGUAACGGCUCACCAAGGCGACGAUGCGUAGCCGACCUGAGAGGGUGAUCGGCCACACUGGGACUGAGACACGGCCCAGACUCCUACGGGAGGCAGCAGUAGGGAAUCUUCGGCAAUGGGCGAAAGCCUGACCGAGCAACGCCGCGUGAGUGAUGAAGGCUUUCGGGUCGUAAAACUCUGUUGUUAGGGAAGAACAAGUACGAGAGUAACUGCUCGUACCUUGACGGUACCUAACCAGAAAGCCACGGCUAACUACGUGCCAGCCGCCGCCGUAA
rnacentral:rRNA from 1 species